AUACGGAGGGGGCUAGCGUUGUUCGGAAUUACUGGGCGUAAAGCGCGCGUAGGCGGAUUGGUUAGUUGGGGGUGAAAUCCCAGGGCUCAACCCUGGAACUGCCCUCAAUACCGCCAGUCUAGAGAUCGAGAGAGGUGAGUGGAAUUCCUAGUGUAGAGGUGAAAUUCGUAGAUAUUAGGAAGAACACCAGUGGCGAAGGCGGCUCACUGGCUCGAUACUGACGCUGAGGCGCGAAAGCGUGGGGAGCAAACAGGAUUAGAAACCCCGGUAGUCC
rnacentral:rRNA from 1 species